UACGAAGGGGGCUAGCGUUGCUCGGAAUUACUGGGCGUAAAGCGCACGUAGGCGGACUGUUAAGUCAGGGGUGAAAUCCUGGAGCUCAACUCCAGAACUGCCUUUGAUACUGAAGAUCUUGAGUUCGGGAGAGGUGAGUGGAACUGCGAGUGUAGAGGUGAAAUUCGUAGAUAUUCGCAAGAACACCAGUGGCGAAGGCGGCUCACUGGCCCGAUACUGACGCUGAGGCACGAAAGCGUGGGGAGCAAACAGG
rnacentral:rRNA from 1 species